AGAGCCAGCCAAAUUAUCCUAAAGGCACCAGAUUCCAUCUGAUCUUGGAAGCUAAGCAGGGUCAGCUCUGGUUAGUACUUGGAUGGGAAACUGUCAAUGAACACCAGGUGCUGUAGGUU
rnacentral:rRNA from 1 species